GGCUGCAACUCGCCUACACGAAGUUGGAAUUGCUAGUAAUCGUGGAUCAGCAUGCCACGGUGAAUACGUUCCCGGGUCUUGUACACACCGCCCGUCACACCAUGGGAGCUGGUAACACCCGAAGUCAGUAGUCUAACCGCAAGGAGGACGCUGCCGAAGGUGGGAUUAGCGACUGGGGUGAAGUCGUAACAAGGUACC
rnacentral:rRNA from 1 species